rnacentral:rRNA from 1 species
GGGCCCGCACAAGCAGUGGAGCAUGUGGUUUAAUUCGACGCAACGCGCAGAACCUUACCAGGGCUUGACAUCCUCUGACUGACGUGGAAACACGUAGUCCGAUGCUUGCAUCGGCAGAGAGACAGGUGCUGCAUGGUUGUCGUCAGCUCGUGUCGUGAGAUGUUGGGUUAAGUCCCGCAACGAGCGCAACCCCUAUUCCGUGUUGCCAGCGUAGAGACGGGCACUCACGGGAGACUGCCGGAGAGAAUUCGGAGGAAGGUGGGGAUGACGUCAAAUCAUCAUGGCCCUUAUGUCCUGGGCUACACACGUGCUACAAUGGUCGGAACAACGGGCAGCUAAGGAGCGAUCCGGAGCGAAUCCCUAAAAACCGAUCCCAGUUCAGAUUGCAGGCUGCAACUCGCCUGCAUGAAGCCGGAAUUGCUAGUAAUCGCGGAUCAGCUACGCCGCGGUGAAUACGUUCCCGGGCCUU